rnacentral:rRNA from 1 species
AUUGAACGCUGGCGGCAGGCCUAACACAUGCCAGUCGAGCGGAUGAAGGGAGCUUGCUCCUGGAUUCAGCGGCGGACGGGUGAGUAAUGCCUAGGAAUCUGCCUGGUAGUGGGGGAUAACGUCCGGAAACGGGCGCUAAUACCGCAUACGUCCUGAGGGAGAAAGUGGGGGAUCUUCGGACCUCACGCUAUCAGAUGAGCCUAGGUGGGAUUAGCUAGUUGGUGGGGUAAAGGCCUACCAAGGCGACGAUCCGUAACUGGUCUGAGAGGAUGAUCAGUCACACUGGAACUGAGACACGGUCCAGACUCCUACGGGAGGCAGCAGUGGGGAAUAUUGGACAAUGGGCGAAAGCCUGAUCCAGCCAUGCCGCGUGUGUGAAGAAGGUCUUCGGAUUGUAAAGCACUUUAAGUUGGGAGGAAGGGCAGUAAGUUAAUACCUUGCUGUUUUGACGUUACCAACAGAAUAAGCACCGGCUAACUUCGUG